UCUUAUGGUUGGACCGUUGGAUUUGCAGAAGUGCAUAGGUCUCUUCCUGCAUGGUGGCACUUACAUGGGCAUUUAGGUUGUAAAGUGGAUUACUUGGUGGUUUCUUUAGUAAAAUGAAAGAUCAAGCAGGAUAAGAAGGGCAGAGGUUUGAGAAAAAUGAAGUAGAAGCAAGGAAUUCUAUUUGAAGAAGGCCUAAAGAAGCAACAUUUGGCCAGGCACAAACCUAAUUGAGAGCAUGUGGUUGAGUUGAUCUGUGACAGGAGAUGAUUCUUAGAAUUAGAUUCAAGAGCUGAUUUUGAAGGCUCAGAAUCUAAUCAAUGAUCCAAAGAAAACUAGCAGCUGGCAAUCCACUGAUGGAGACAACCUGCAUAAGAGAAUCAAUAACUUUCUUGUGAGGUACAAGUGAAGCACGUGAAAGCGAAGCAGUGAGGGUAGGUGGAUGUUGUGGGACACAGCUAAUAUUAUGACAUACCCUGUGAUGGCUCAACAUUUUUCUGAAUUGUGCUUGAUGUGGAGGCAUCUAAACCUGCAGGAAGAUUGUAGGAUGCUGGCAGAUUUCCUGUGCUACACCGGUCCUGUUGAGGAUGAGAUAUACCAGAACAAGAGCUAGAGAAGUAGUGGGAUUAUAUUGUGCUUUAGGAGUCAUCAUUUCUACUCAUGAGCCAGAUGUUUCUAUGCUUGGUAGAAAUUCUGGGUGGUCUUUGGUUUUGUACUUGUGUUGAACUGAGCUGAUCAUGUCAUUGGCCCAAGUUACUUAAUGUAGAUCUGCCAUAUCAGUAGAUGGGUUAAUAGUGUCCUGUAGCAGGUUUUGAGCCUU